UGCACCUAAAAGCGUUUUCUUGCCAGCUCGUUAAAUGCUCUCGAAAAUCGUAGAUGUGUGCGAGAGCAAUCCUCACAAUUGCAAGUGAAAUUAGUUUUUAAAAAAUAACUUUGUUCCAUUUUCAUUGUGAACAUCC